rnacentral:sRNA from 1 species
CCCAAGCGAUCCGCGAGAGCGGGACUAUC